AAGUUUAAUAUUUUUGACUUUUGAGGCAAAUCCCUAAAAUCAAUUGAAAGAACUAACGCACUAUCAAAAGCAGAGAAAGAAAUCGCACAAGAUGAAAGAACCCUAACCACAGUCACCACCGCAUCACCGUCUCUCUCGUCUCUCCUCUCAACACAGUCACCACCGUCUCUUCUCUUCACCACCGUCUCUCUCUCGUCUCGUCUCAUAUCAACACCAGUUACCACCGUCUCUUUUCAAUCGGGAUGGAGGUUCAUUGCACACCCAAGGGUCAAAGAAUCAAUUAAAACAUGAACUUGAAUUGAAUAAGAGCUUAGGAAGAAUUCCACACAAGGGUGAAGUAUUAAAAAAAUGUCACACUAGGAAGGGGACACAAACCUUUGUGGAUAAGAGAUCAAGUGAUGCAUAUGAUAACUUUGUAAAUCUAUGUUCACAAGUUGAGUCUCAACCUCAACCUUCUGAGUCUUGUAAUAAUGAGAGUGCUGCUACUCAACUGAAGCCAAUUGAUUAUGAUACACUAAUGAUUGAGUUGUUGGAGGAAGAAAUGCAAAGGGUAUAGUAUAUGGACUUAGUUUGGAUGGACGCAUCCUCACCCGUGGCUCAACAUCUAAAUCAAAUAGAUAUUCAAAUAAAAUGUUUGCCGUAUUUGCUAAACAUGCAAAUAUAGAUUUGGAUUUAAUGGAUUUAGAUGAAGAUGAUCCUUCUGUUGGUAAUGGAACUCGUGGAAGCAAUUCAAAUGAUGGUACAAAUGUCAAUGAGUAAUAUUAAUGACUUUGGAAUGUAGAAUUUAAAUUAUAGAGUUUGAUUUUUGUAGACAAUUCUAAGUUGUUAGAACAUUAACCUUUUGGAUGUAGUGAUAAAAUUUUGAUAUUUUGUUGUUAUAUGGAGAUACUUAUAUGCUAUGUUUAUUAUGGAA